rnacentral:rRNA from 1 species
GACGAACGCUGGCGGCGUGCUUAACACAUGCAAGUCGAACGGAAAGGCCCUGCUUUUGUGGGGUGCUCGAGUGGCGAACGGGUGAGUAACACGCGAGUAACCUGCCCUUGACUUUGGGAUAACUUCAGGGAACUGGGGCUAAUAUCGGAUAGGAGCUCCUGCAGCAUGGUGGGGGUUGGAAAGUGUCGGCGGUUGGGGAUGUACUCGCGGCUUAUCAGCUUGUUGGUGGGGUAGGGGCGUACGAAGGCUUUGACGGGUAGCCGACCUGAGAGGGUGAACGGGCACAAUGGGACUGAGAUACGGACCAGACUGGAACGGGAGGCAGCAGUGGGGAGUAUGGCACAGUGAGGCGGAGCCUGAUGCGACGGCGCCGGGUGCGUAAUGCCGGCCUUCGGGUUGUAAACCGCUUUCGCCUUAGACGAAGCGUGAGUGACGGUAAUGGGUAAAGAAGCACCGGCUAACUACGUG